GUGUCAGCCGCCGCGGUAAUACGUAGGGUGCAAGCGUUGUCCGGAAUCAUUGGGCGUAAAGCGCGCGUAGGUGGCUUCGUAAGUCCGUUGUGAAAGUCAAAGGCUCAACCUUUGAAUGCCGAUGGAUACUGCGAAGCUAGAGUACGGAAGAGGCGAGUGGAAUUCCUGGUGUAGCGGUGGAAUGCGCAGAUAUCAGGAGGAACACCAAUAGCGAAGGCAGCUCGCUGGGACGUUACUGACACUAAGGCGCGAAAGCGUGGGGAGCGAACAGGAUUAGAUACCCCCGUAGUCC
rnacentral:rRNA from 1 species